rnacentral:rRNA from 1 species
GACGAACGCUGGCGGCGUGCCUAAUACAUGCAAGUAGAACGCACAGUUUAUACCGUAGCUUGCUACACCAUAAACUGUGAGUUGCGAACGGGUGAGUAACGCGUAGGUAACCUGCCUGGUAGCGGGGGAUAACUAUUGGAAACGAUAGCUAAUACCGCAUAAUAUUGAUUAUUGCAUGAUAAUUGAUUGAAAGAUGCUAUUGCAUCACUACCAGAUGGACCUGCGUUGUAUUAGCUAGUAGGUGAGGUAACGGCUCACCUAGGCGACGAUACAUAGCCGACCUGAGAGGGUGAUCGGCCACACUGGGACUGAGACACGGCCCAGACUCCUACGGGAGGCAGCAGUAGGGAAUCGUCGGCAAUGGACGAAAGUCUGACCGAGCAACGCCGCGUGAGUGAAGAAGGUUUUCGGAUCGUAAAGCUCGGUUGUAAGAGAAGAACGGGUGUGAGAGUGGAAAGUUCACACUGUGACGGUAUCUUACCAGAAAGGGACGGCUAACUACGUG